rnacentral:rRNA from 1 species
UGGGGAAUAUUGCGCAAUGGGCGAAAGCCUGACGCAGCCACGCCGCGUGAGUGAUGAAGGCCUUCGGGUUGUAAAGCUCUGUCGGGAGGGAAGAAGGGAGCAAUCUCUGACGGUACCUCGCAAGAAAGCACCGGCUAACUCUGUGCCAGCAGCCGCGGUAAUACAGAGGGUGCAAGCGUUGCUCGGAUUUACUGGGCGUAAAGCGUACGCAGACGGUUUGGUAGGUCGGGUGUGAAAGCCCAGGGCUCAACCCUGGAAAUGCACUCGAAACCACCUCACUUGAGUAUAGGAGAGGGAAGCGGAAUUCCUGGUGUAGAGGUGAAAUUCGUAGAUAUCAGGAGGAACACCGGUGGCGAAGGCGGCUUCCUGGCCUAUUACUGACGUUCAGGUACGAAAGCGUGGGUAGCAAACAGGAUUAGAUACCCUUGUAGUCCCUGAGCGGGCUGGCAAGGCGCAU